UGGGGAAUAUUGGACAAUGGGCGCAAGCCUGAUCCAGCCAUGCCGCGUGUGUGAAGAAGGCCUUUUGGUUGUAAAUCACUUUAAGCGAGGAGGAGGCUACUUGGAUUAAUACUCUAGGAUAGUGGACGUUACUCGCAGAAUAAGCACCGGCUAACUCUGUGCCAGCAGCCGCGGUAAUACAGAGGGUGCGAGCGUUAAUCGGAUUUACUGGGCGUAAAGCGUGCGUAGGCGGCUUCUUAAGUCGGAUGUGAAAUCCCUGAGCUUAACUUAGGAAUUGCAUUCGAUACUGGGAAGCUAGAGUAUGGGAGAGGAUGGUAGAAUUCCAGGUGUAGCGGUGAAAUGCGUAGAGAUCUGGAGGAAUACCGAUGGCGAAGGCAGCCAUCUGGCCUAAUACUGACGCUGAGGUACGAAAGCAUGGGGAGCAAACAGG
rnacentral:rRNA from 1 species